rnacentral:lncRNA from 1 species
AUCAAAUUCCCCAAUAGGUAUUUCUGAGUUUCCCGUCAUAGUUCAUCUCUUAUCAGUUGACACCACCUUAUUUCUUCUGCUCCCUGCAUCACCCCACUCCACUCCUUCUGGAUCAAGUUUCCUGCAAGCCAGAUAGUUCCUACAUCACUCUAGGCCAUUUAUGAUUUGUUUAUCUGCUUCAAUUUCCUGAAGCUAAGCUAAACCAUCGGUACCCACUAUGCUCAGGCUGGCAUGACCAUCACAAACAGGGGGAGCAGAGCACAGUGGCUUUACUAAUGGAUAGAGCAAUUUGUUCCAAACUGCAGCUUAAAAUGUCACAUUAUUGAUGUGGCAUUAUCAAGUUUCAUCAUGAUUGACCUGAUGUCACACUGUUUUGUAACACAACUGGUUGCUGUCUAUCAAAGGCACUUACAGAAACCUAUUAUAAACAUGGAGAACAAUUUGUGCCAGCAAAGAACCAUCUGGUAUACUCUUUGCUUUAAAGAUGAGCCUUGUGGUUAUUUA